GACGAACGCUGGCGGCGUGCUUAACACAUGCAAGUCGAACGGAAAGGCCCUGCUUUUGUGGGGUGCUCGAGUGGCGAACGGGUGAGUAACACGUGAGUAACCUGCCCUUGACUUUGGGAUAACUUCAGGAAACUGGGGCUAAUACCGGAUAGGAGCUCCUGCUGCAUGGUGGGGGUUGGAAAGUUUCGGCGGUUGGGGAUGGACUCGCGGCUUAUCAGCUUGUUGGUGUGGUAGUGGCUUACCAAGGCUUUGACGGGUAGCCGGCCUGAGAGGGUGACCGGCCACAUUGGGACUGAGAUACGGCCCAGACUCCUACGGGAGGCAGCAGUCGGGAAUAUUGCACAGUGGGCGGAAGCCUGAUGCAGCAACGCCGCGUGCGGGAUGACGGCCUUCGGGUUAUAAACCGCUUUCGCCUGUGACGAAGCGUGAGUGACGGUAAUGGGUAAAGAAGCACCGGCUAACUACGUG
rnacentral:rRNA from 1 species